UACGGAGGAUCCAAGCGUUGUCCGGAUUUACUGGGUUUAAAGGGUGCGUAGGUGGACUUUUAAGUCAGUGGUGAAAGCCUGUAGCUUAACUAUAGAAUUGCCAUUGAAACUGAAAGUCUUGAGUACAGUUGAGGUGAGCGGAAUGUAUCAUGUAGCGGUGAAAUGCUUAGAUAUGAUACAGAACACCGAUUGCGAAGGCAGCUCACUAAACUGCAAACUGACACUGAGGCA
rnacentral:rRNA from 1 species